rnacentral:rRNA from 1 species
UGGGGAAUUUUGCGCAAUGGGCGAAAGCCUGACGCAGCAACGCCGCGUGAGUGAUGAACGCCUUCGGGUCGUAAAGCUCUGUCAGAGGGAAAGAAGUGUGGGGCGGCUAAUACCCGUUUCACUUGACGGUACCCUCAAAGGAAGCACCGGCUAACUCCGUGCCAGCAGCCGCGGUAAUACGGAGGGUGCGAGCGUUGUUCGGAAUUAUUGGGCGUAAAGCGCGUGUAGGCGGCUCCUUAAGUCUGAUGUGAAAGCCCUGGGCUCAACCCGGGAAGUGCAUUGGAAACUGGGGAACUUGAAUACGGGAGAGGGUAGUGGAAUUCCUGGUGUAGGAGUGAAAUCCGUAGAUAUCAGGAGGAACACCGGUGGCGAAGGCGGCUGCCUGGACCGAUAUUGACGCUGAGACGCGAAAGCGUGGGGAGCAAACAGG